UGGGGGAUAUUGCACAAUGGGCGAAAGCCUGAUGCAGCGACGCCGCGUGGGGGAUGAAGGCCUUCGGGUUGUAAACUUCUUUUGCUCUGAACAAGGCAUGCCUUUGGGGUGUGUUGAGUGUAGGGGUUGAUUAGCGCCGGCUAACUACGUGCCAGCAGCCGCGGUAAUACGUAGGGCGCGAGCGUUGUCCGGAAUUAUUGGGCGUAAAGUGCUUGUAGGUGGCUGGUUGCGUCUGUCGUGAAAGCUCAUGGCUUAACUGUGGGUUUGCGGUGGGUACGGGCUGGUUUGAGUGCAGUAGGGGAGGCUGGAAUUCCUGGUGUAGCGGUGGAAUGCGCAGAUAUCAGGAGGAAUACCGGUGGCGAAGGCGGGUCUCUGGGCUGUUACUGACGCUGAGGAGCGAAAGCGUGGGGAGCGAACAGG
rnacentral:rRNA from 1 species